CUGGUUCCCCUCUUCUCUUCCUUGACCACUUUGCUGCCUGGCUACCCUAUUUCCUCUCUUCUAACAUCCCAUCCCUAAUUCUCAGGGACUUCAAUAUUCCUAUAAACCCACCUUUGACCUCUGCAGCCAAUAAACUUCUUUCAAUUACUUCCUCCCUCGGCCUAUCACAGUGGGCAAAUUCUCCCACCCAUGUAGCUGGCAAUACCCUUGACCUAAUCUUCACUUAUGCAUGUACUGUAUCUAAUAUCUGCAACACUCCGUAUCCACUCUCUGAU